UUAAUAAUAAUAAUAAUAUUAAAAUUUAUAUAAUGAAUAUUAUAAAACAAAAACAUGAUAUUGAUAGAAGUAUCACUCAAGAUACGGUAGAUAAAAUAUAGGAAUUUAGCUACAACACUUAAUUAAUUUUUUUUAACAUAUAUCAAUUUUAAUUAUAAAUUUAAUUCUAUAAAGUUAUUUUUAUUCAAACAUGAUGAUUGCAUUACGAUAUUCAUUUUUUAUUGAAGUUAUUAAUCUUGGAGUAAUAUCAUAUAAAGAUUUUGCACCAAUACACCUAAUCGUCCAUCAAUACACUGCCCUUGACAAUCUACGACUUCGGUACAAGAUGCUUCUAAUUUCAUGCACAUAUCUGCAUAUACAAAUAAUGUUCGUAAACAUUAUAUUAAUUUUAUAUGCAAAGAUUACAACAUACUGAAAAGACGUUUUUAUAAAUUAUCCAUGGAUUUUUAACGUGAUGCGUAGAAGAAAAAGCUAAUAAGAAUAUCAUUAUCAGAGCAUAAAUCUUUGUAGUAACCAUCUUGUAUAUAUAACAUAUUAUAUUUUACAUAUAUUUAUUAUUUAAAGAUGCAUGAGAUGAGAUGUGACUCAAUCUUGACCAUAUUAAUUAGUUAAAAUUGGUUUAUAAAAUUUAAAAUAACUUUUACUCUAUAUAGAGAAAAUUACACUAAUACAUUUUUAACAAAUAUACGGUAAUACAUUUAAAACAAUCAGAAUAAAUAUAUUCAAUAAAAACAUUUUAAACUAUAUACUAUUAGUUAUUUAAUUAUUAUUUAAAUAUAAUAACACGUUAAAUAUAAUAUAUUCUAAUUAUAUUAUAUUUAAAAAGUUAUUUUUUUAUUAAUUAAAAUAGUUUGAAAGUUUAAUUUAAAAUUAUAUUUGAAGAAGUUAAACUUCGUAAUUUGAUAUUAGAAGGCAUAGAUCUUACAAUUAAAGUAACACAUUGACAAUGGCUUGUCCUUUAUUUUAGUUAUAAUUUUUUUAUAAAGUCUCUUCUAUUGAAAAAAGAAGCAUUACAAAAAGAAAGGUAAAGUCUAAGGUCCAUUGAAAAGAAGAAACUCUAAAAGAAGGCAUUCCUAGUCUAUUUUUACAAAAUCCUUUUUAUGGCAAUAGGUAUGAAAAAAAAAUAUAUGAUACUUUCAAAACAAUGACUCUUUUUUUAGAAAAAUAGUAUAUUUUUAGUAUANUAAGGUCCAUUGAAAAGAAGAAACUCUAAAAGAAGGCAUUCCUAGUCUAUUUUUACAAAAUCCUUUUUAUGGCAAUAGGUAUGAAAAAAAAAUAUAUGAUACUUUCAAAACAAUGACUCUUUUUUUAGAAAAAUAGUAUAUUUUUAGUAUAUGAUUAGAAAAUUUAUGUUUUAAAUUUUUUCUUUUCGUGUUUGUUAUUUUCACCUUUUUUUUUCUUUAAAUUGUAUUUUUUUUUAUUUAUAUUUAAUCUUAUUUUGAGACCCCUCACCCACACCCACACGUAUUCAUACAUGACUUCUUUUAAAAAGUAAAUAACAAGAAUUUUUACAAUUUUAAAAUUUCAAAUAAAUUAAAUAAUAUAAAGGUAAAGUCUAUAACAAAGGACAAAAGAUAUUAGAAAUAUUGUAUUAGAAGUUUUAUCAAGGGUGUGGCAAUGAGAAAAAGCUUUAAAAGAUCCACCUAACACUCACAUUCACCGACAACUUAAUGAUUACUAUACUGUUUCAACUAAAUAUUAUUAGUGACAACCAUGAGACGACGAGUAACAAUUAUGAGUAAUUUAAAAUUUCUUCUAAUGUACUCUUAAACAAUUCACUUUUACAUAUCUCAUAUUUGGGAGUUGUGCCCUAGCAUAAAAACUUAGAAUAUAAAACUAAGUGCACGAGCCUAUGGCCUAAUCCUAGAUUCCACACUUUUGGUCAAGUGUCUGAACCCACGAACGCAAAUAACCAUUAUAUCGUAGCUAUAAUACUGAGAAGUAAUUGACUUCCUUCUUCACAUUUUUGUCCUUUUACAAACGUAAGUGUUUUUAAUACUAUAUGUAUUUACAUGCCACAAUAGAUUUUCUAACAGGGUUCGAGGUAGCUACUAUACCUCUAAAAAUAAGAUUGUCAACUUUACGCACCUAAUCAUAAUAGUAAAACACCCAUACUUUUGAUCAUAAAACACAAUGGUGGAAGAACUCCUCCAAGACACACUUAAAUACUAAAUGGUAUAGUUCAUUAUAUACUUCUUAUCACUUGUUUAUAAAUAGUUUAUUGCAAACAUGUUAUUCUACCAUUAUAUUUAUUAAAAUUGAUUUUUCUUAUUGAUGACAUAAUUUUUAGAUUAUAUUUAUUUCUAUAACACUUUCAAGAGAACGAAGAUAAAAAUACACAAAUGUGUAUACCGGUUAAAAUAGAAGAAACACUAAAUG
rnacentral:lncRNA from 1 species